rnacentral:tRNA from 1 species
GGCCGCGUAGCUCACUCGGGAGAGCGCCACCCUGUCACGGUGGAGGUAGCCGGAUCGAAACCGGUCGUGGUCG